UACCACGGGACCUAAUGCACCUCAGAAUGACUGAUCUUAAAGAAUUCGUAAGUGCAUUAUAAUGUUGGUGGUGAAAUCCCUCAGCUCAAAUCUGGAACUGCCUUUAGAAAUUUUCAUCUCGACAUGAUAUAGCAACCCUUAGUUUCUGCCGUUAGAGGUGAAAUUCUAACACUUUACAAAGAGUACCAGUUGAUAAGACAUCUUCCUGGACUUUUACUGACCUUGAGGAGCGAAACUCUGUAUAGUGAACAGGAUUAUAUACUCUCGUAUACCAUGCCGUAAAGGAUGUGUGAUAGAAGUUAGACAUUUAUUUUCAGGGACGAACUGAAAACGAUAAAUGCACCGCCUGGGGAGUACGACCGCAAGGUUAAAACUCAAACGAAUUGACGGGGACGCGCACAAGUAGUGGUGCAUGUGGUUUAAUUUGAUGAUACUCGCAGACCCUUUCCUACACUUGUCAUGUUCGUCGCGACUUUAUGAGAGUAGAGUCUUCGGGUCGGUCGGACGCAACACAGGUGCUGCAUGCCUGUCGUCAGCUCGUGUCGUGAGAUGGCGGGCUAAGUGUCACAACGAGCGCAAGCCUCACUUUUCGUUGUCUUCAUUAAGUUGGGCUCUCCGAAAGAUCGCCCAUCGAUAUCCUGGAGGAAGGUGGGGAUGACGUCAACUCUUCAUGUUCCUUAUGUGAUGGGUUCCACACGCGCUUCAACGGACAUUCCACAGGAAUCAAGCCUGCGCAAGUAUGCCAGUAUCUAAAACAUUCCUCAGUUUGGACGGCAGUCUGCAACUUGAGUGCAUGAAGCCGGAAUUCGUAGUAAUUGUGGAUCCAGCAUUCCGCGGAGAAUCCGUCUUCCGGGUG
rnacentral:rRNA from 1 species